rnacentral:miRNA from 1 species
AUGCGUGGAUGAAAAAGGGGACGGAGGGGAUUAAGUCGUUUGUGCACAAACGACUUAAUCCCCUCCGUCCCCUUUUUCGUGC